CAUGCGAUUCCAAGAGUUCGGAUGCCUAGUUUGAUUGCUAGCGUUAUCCUUCGUCGGCCGCUAUGCCACGCGACUGCAAUCUAGCAUAAGGAAGUCUGAGGCAGAGUACCACAAGCUCAAGGCCUGAAUGGACUGUAGACAUAUAGUUCACUGUUAUUGUUGCCUUCCCAAGCUCUAAGCCUAGAGGACCUGCAGUUGACCCAGAUGUCCCCCAGCUUCACUCACAUUGCAUGAAACCCAUGUGUCUCGAUCCGGUCCGAAAAGCAAAUGCAGCCUCAGCCAUCCUGUGUGUCUGUCUUCUGCCUACAUUCUACAACUUCUGCUGAGAAUGGAGUAUAAUGCCAUGCUAAGAACUGUUGGAAUUGAGAAGCCAAUACAGACAGAACAGGCUCCUUACCUGGCAACUCUGAAGCGGGAAUGUUCUGCCGAUACUGGUAGGUCAGCUCUCGGAAGCUGCGCAGACCACAGCAGUAACACAGCACAGUGUUUCCAGUGACUCGGUAAUCUGGGGGAGGACAGCCAUAUCUGGACACAGCCGUUUAUCAGGCAAUGCCAUUUUUAAACAGCAAACAGACAUACUUCUAACUAGUAGGAAACUAACACCAUAAUGAGGUAGAGACAGUGGGCUAAACAUCUGGAAAACAAUUCCAAAACCAAUCUAAAUACUAAUUUAGCUGUUUUUUUUAAGAUUUAUUUUUAUUUUAUGAAUGUUUGCCUACAUGAAUGUCUGUGUGCCACGUGUGUGCAGCACUUGAAAAGCCCAGAAGGCGGCACUGGAUCCUCUAGAACUGGAGUACAGAUGGGUGUAAGUCACCAUGUGGGUGCUGGGAACCUUGUCCUCUCCAAGAACAACAAAUGCUUAUCACCACUAAACCGUCUUC